AUGCAAGACUAUUUCGCGGAGAAUCCUACAUAUCCUCCGCACCUCUUUCGGAGAAGGUACCGAAUGCGCCGAUCCCUCUUUGUGAAAAUCGUUGAAGCUUGCGAGACAAAUUGCUGGUAUUUUACUCAAAGAAGAAAUGUCGCGGGUUUAAAGGGAUUUAGUGCAUAUCAAAAAAUCUCCGCAGCUAUGCGGGUGAUUGCAUAUUGCAAUGGUCUCAUUUGUUUGCUAGGCUUGCUAGUGGUGAUGCUCCUGCUUACAACUACACUAUCAAUGGCCAUGAAUACACAAAAGGGUACUAUCUUGCAGAUGGUAUAUACCCUUCUUGGUGCACAUUUAUCAAGAGCAUCAAAGAACCCAAAACAAAAAAACAAUGUGUGA
rnacentral:rRNA from 1 species